rnacentral:lncRNA from 1 species
AUGGAAUGUACCUGUUGCUGCCAUCUCCCUAUAACAGAGGGCUAUCUCUUCGGUAUCCUCAGGAUUUGCAGCAAAAAGAACACAUGGAAAAUGAAAACGUGGAGAGGAACUGGUUUUGAAUUGGACAAGCAGAAGCAAGCAAAUGAAAGCAGCAAAAUGCUCUUGAAAGGUGAAUGGACUUUGAAGAGAAAACGUGUACAAGUGGCUGUUUUUACUCAGCAGAUCUUUUCAAAGGGUAAAAUUCUGCCUCCCCAAAAGUCAACGACAAAGCUCGCAGUGACUUCAGUCUUUUCAAACUCCUGUUUGUGUGAAGGACAUACCUGCUCACCUUUAUGAAAGAGCUGCUCUUCUUUAAACUCCUGUCACCCCAGCUGAGCUCUGGGAGAGGGAAAUGAAUUCUUCUCUGGCUCACACUUUAUCAGCAGAAUUAUUAAGCAGUUUUCUGUGCAGAGUCACUCUUGUAAUACACUCCUGCUUUUUUUUUUUUCCCCCUUUUAAAAAAAAAUCUAUUCUCAUAUUCAUGUUGGUGCUCAGGUUUCCUGGGGAUAACCAGAUAUCAUUUCACCAAACUGAAGCUGUGCACUCAUAACUGAGAGUUAUUUUGUCUUCAGAAUUUCAGCAACUCAUUCUGAUUUAUGAAAGAAUCUGGCUAAGCUUGAAGAUUCAGCUGGAGUUUACAGAGUUAUAACUCUAGUCUAGACUCAUUGAGUCAACAAUAAUAAGAAAGAAGCCAAACUGUCUUUUUAUAUCUUUUUUUGUAAACUACACAUUUUAAAGACAGAAGCACUGAACUAGAACCAGUGUGCUGCAAUCUAGUGCUGUUUGUACUGAAUAUCUUUUAGAAGGGGGUUGCAUUUAAAUAGACACCAAGAGGAAAUGAGUAUUCCAGUAGUCACCCUCAAACGUAGAAACAUCCAUAGCCACAUUCAUUGGCAUUUACUGACAUCUACACCCCUGCAAGCAGACAACCAUGGUGCAGAGAAUGCCAGAACUUUCCAUGGGAAAUUACUGAGCUGGAUGGGAUUUUAUACGAGCACGUAGAGUGGGGCUGAAUGCUUUGCCUCAAAUAUCUGUCAAAAGUCAUGCAGCAGAAUGUAAUAUCUUGAGUUUCAUUGGUGUCCAGAGCAGUCAUAGUUUGACAGGCCACUUCUUUGGAAAGUUUUACAGGGAACACUGAAAGACAAAGAAAGAAAAUUGUCGCAGCAGGCUUGCCCAAUUCAUUUUAAGCAGUCUGGUUUAGUCUCUGUGCAUUUCUUACCAUUUAAAAAGGAAAAUCAGGGAUGCCAAUAGUUCUUCAAAUGGAAACUGGUGACAAAACUGAGUUCUAAACAACACCAUCAGUAUAGAGCAACUGGUGGUUUUUAAUAUUCUUAGACAAACAACAAAACCUAAUUAUCUUUAUUUAUUCAAUAAAUCAAG